rnacentral:tRNA from 1 species
GGCCCCGUAGCUCAGUUGGUUAGAGCGCGCCCUGUCACGGCGGAGGUCACCGGUUCAAGUCCGGCCGGGGUCGCGA